rnacentral:rRNA from 1 species
GACAGAGGGUGCAAACGUUGUUCGGAAUUACUGGGCGUAAAGCGUGUGUAGGCGGCUUUGCAAGUCGGAUGUGAAAGCCCCGGGCUCAACCCGGGAAGUGCACUCGAUACUGCAGGGCUUGAGUGUCGGAGAGGUUGUUGGAAUUCUCGGUGUAGAGGUGAAAUUCGUAGAUAUCGGGAGGAACACCGGUGGCGAAGGCGGCGACCUGGGUAGAUACUGACGCUGAGGUGCGAAAGCGUGGGGAGCAAACAGG